GUUGAAACACCAGUUCCUGUCUGAUCACCGAAAUUAAGCAACGUCAAGCCGGUUAGUAACUAAAUGGGUGACCAUUUGGGAAUACCAUGAGCUGUAA